AUUGAACGCUGGCGGCAGGCUUAACACAUGCAAGUCGAGCGGGGGAGGUUGCUUCGGUAACUGACCUAGCGGCGGACGGGUGAGUAAUGCUUAGGAAUCUGCCUAUUAGUGGGGGACAACAUUCCGAAAGGGAUGCUAAUACCGCAUACGCCCUACGGGGGAAAGCAGGGGAUCUUCGGACCUUGCGCUAAUAGAUGAGCCUAAGUCGGAUUAGCUAGUUGGUGGGGUAAAGGCCUACCAAGGCGACGAUCUGUAGCGGGUCUGAGAGGAUGAUCCGCCACACUGGGACUGAGACACGGCCCAGACUCCUACGGGAGGUAGCAGUGGGGAAUAUUGGACAAUGGGCGGAAGCCUGAUCCAGCCAUGCCGAGUGUGUGAAGAAGGCCUUUUGGUUGUAAAGCACUUUAAGCGAGGAGGAGGCUCUUAAGGUUAAUACCCUUGAUGAGUGGACGUUACUCGCAGAAUAAGCACCGGCUAACUCUGUGCCAGCAGCCGCCGUAAAAC
rnacentral:rRNA from 1 species